rnacentral:rRNA from 1 species
AGAGUUUGAUCAUGGCUCAGGAUGAACGCUAGCUACAGGCUUAACACAUGCAAGUCGAGGGGCAUCAGUUUGGUUUGCUUGCAAACCAAAGCUGGCGACCGGCGCACGGGUGAGUAACACGUAUCCAACCUGCCUCAUACUCGGGGAUAGCCUUUCGAAAGAAAGAUUAAUAUCCGAUAGCAUAUAUUUCCCGCAUGGGUUUUAUAUUAAAGAAAUUCGGUAUGAGAUGGGGAUGCGUUCAUUAGUUGUUGGCGGGGUAACGCCACCGAAGACUACGAUGGAUAGGGGUUCUGAGAGGAAGGUCCCCCAGAUUGGAACUGAGACACGGUCCAAACUCCGUACGGAGGCA